CCAAAAUCUUUUUUUCUCUGAAAAAAAAGGUCAUCCUUCUACCAUUAUUCGCUUUUGCCUUUAGCCUAAUUCGUAUUUUCUCGUCAUCAAUAGUGGAGAAGAAAAUUCUAGAAGUUGCAACAAUUAUUUUGGAUGAAAAUCUAGUUGGGUUCGUCUUCCUUUAGCUCCAUAUAAGGUAUGUUCUAGUUUCUGUACAUGCAUGAAAAUAUAUCUACGUUUACAUAUUCAUGGUUCAUGAGGUUGAAGGUCAUGAAUUUUCGCCGUUUCGAAGCUGGUGAGGAAUCAACUAUCAUCAUUCAUAGCCAACUUCAACAAUUUCAAAUCACUAUUUCACUCCAUUUUUCAUUCACUGUAGAAGAAAAUGAAAUUGCAUUGGACGCAAAAAAAAAUGUUAAUAGAGGGUGAAAAUUAUAUAGAUGUGUACAUACACAUUUACAUACAUACAUGUUUACUUGUGUGAGGAGAGGGGAUUACUUUUCUUCGUAUAGAAUAUAUUUUAUUUAAUUAGUAUAUAAUAAUAAAAUAGUAUCUGCCUUUACUAUAAGAGAGGAGAUUGUCCAAGUUAUUGUUUAUGUUUGGCACAAUUUCACACGUAACCAGUUUCUUCCUUUAGUAUGUAGACUAGAGAUAUUUUUUUCUUAUUCUUAUCUAAUAUGAAAAUUAUUUAAGUUGAAAACGCCUAACUUUGUAUGAACUUUAAAAAUUCUUUAAAAUAUAUGUGUUGGGGACAUGUAGAUUUAUAUUAACUUUAAAGAUGAAUAAAAUUUGAAUUGAAGGCGCCGUGUAGGAUUUAGUGCCAUGCCUUGAUUUUUUAUAAAUUGAUAGAUGACCGUGGUGGAUAGAAGUCUUGUCUAAGUUAAAUAGUUAUAAUGGAAGUGUAUUUAUAGGGAAAUUUAUUCUGUAGGUUGCUUUGAAUUAGAAUUUCGAAUGUUCCAAGAGAGAAGCUAGAGUACCAUACUUUUUCAUUGAAAAAGAUACUUUGUUAGAGCUUAUUAAGGCAGAAAUUCAUAGAUGGAAAUCUUUUAUUACUUGCUGCCCGAA